GUCCUUCCUUUAUGGCAUUUUCUAUGCUGUUGACUUUCUGUGCGAUAAUCUCGUCUUCACAAUGUCACUGAAGCGCUGUGAAAGCUUCCUCCGAAGCACCCAGGAGGAAGAGGAAGAUGAUGACGAUCAGCGAAAAAGUAAAACCUUGGUUAUGAUCAAAGACGGCAAAAGUUACACUUUUGUAGGCCGCCAUAUUUAUUCACAAUGUCAUUGAAGCGCUGUGCUGAUGUGAAUGCUCCUUCCGAAGCGCCAAACAGGAAGAGGAUGAUGAUCAGCUUUGGAUAUGAUAAAAAACGGCAGAAGUUACGCUUUUGUGGCGCACCAUUAUGGCGUGACUAAAUUCACGGGCCGCUCCAUAAAGAAGGAUGUGGCAGAGAUCUGUAAUAUCGCUUCAAUAACUUUUAAUAAGUAAUACCGCUUCAAUAACUUUUAAUAAGCAAAACGUGUAGCGACUCCACGAAAUAAGAGGAUUCUUUGAAUGGAAGCUGUGUUAGCUUUGUGGAAAGCGGAUUGCAGAAAAACAGCCUGGUGAUGAUGAAGAGGCUGAAUAAAGUGCUGACAAACCUCAAACUGCAAGGACGGAUACAGCCCUUCAAAGGGUCGCUGGAGUGCUGGAGCCGAUCACAGCUGUCAACGGGCAGGAUGCAAGCCAAUCGCAGGGCACAUGGAGACAGAAAAGUCACACUCACAAUCACACCUCGGAGUGUCCAAUUAAUGUUGCAUGUUUUUUGGGAUGUGAGAGAAAACCGGGGUGCCUGGAGAAAACCCAUGCAGACACAGGAAGAACAUGCAAACUCCACAUAGGUAGGGUAGGGAUUGAACCCGGGUCCUCAGAACUGCGAGGCUUUCCAGCUGCUCCACAGUGCCGCAUUGUCUCAAAUAUGCAAAGUAAAAAUACGUACUGUUGACAUAUUUUAAACAUUUUGGUACUCACAUACACUCACAAAAAAAAAUCUCAAAGGUAAAAUGCUCAACUAUGUACACUGCCAGGACCUCCAGCAGAAGAUUCUCCAAGUGAAGAAUGUUAAUUACAUACAGUAAAAAAAAUGUUACUGUGCUGCAUAAGGUUUUAUAAUUAGAGAUUUAACUUGA